rnacentral:sRNA from 1 species
UAUCUCUCCGUAUGGGGAAGGAUGAGAAGCUUCGACCAAGGUUCGAUUCGAGCGAAAGCGAGAAAGCGUUGCCGCAGGCAACGACCCGAAGGGCGAAGCGCGCAGCGCUGAGUCAUCCUUCCCCCACCACCA